CAGUAAUCUAAUUCUAUCACUCUCCUUCUCUCCCUCCCUCUCUCUCUUUCUCUCAAAUUCUUUUUCCUUGUAUUUGACGAAAUUUCUUACGCAUUGGUGAUGAAAAUCGGUUCUUAGAUCUCUGGUGUUUUUGAUUGAGACAUCAAUGCUCAGCACAAGUUUUUGACAGAUGGGCAUUAUUGGAAGAAAAUUUAAAGAGACAGACG
rnacentral:misc_RNA from 1 species